rnacentral:rRNA from 1 species
AUGGAGCGGUUCAGCAAGGAGCAAGAGGAUGCCCUUCAACUCCUCUCCUCCCUCCAGGAACUUGACUUUUCAUGUUUCAAGGACCUUCACCAACUCCCUGCAGGGAUGAGCAACCUUACCAGCCUCAAGAAAUUAACAAUCUAUGAAUGUCCAGCCCUCUCAUCAUUGCCCAAGGAUGGCCUCCCCAAAUCACUUCAAGAGCUAAAUGUCGGAUUGUGCAGCAACCAGCAGAUAAGACAGGAGUGCCGCGGAUUAGAGGGAACCAUCCCGAAAAUCAUACUAUAA